UUCAAACACACUUUUUCGUAAUUACGCUUAUACUCUCCAAAACCGUAAAUCUAUGUUUUCUACAAAUGCAAACCUGGUGAAUUAGUGGCGCUGUUGUCAAUAAACGUGUAAGGUUAAAUUAGUUUAACAUUAUAUUUAAUGCUUAUUUAAAAAGUAGAUUGAUAGGUGCGUUUGAUCCUAUAAUUUUUUAACUGAUAUGCUUUCGUUGUCUAUAACAAAAAUGUUGAGUUAAUAUCAAUUUACAGAAAAUCAUUUGCAUAACCAUACUAUCUACAUAUAUAUCAUAAAAUGAUAUUUUACUCAUGUGUUUGUUGUGAAUUAUUCGAUAUCAACGAUACACUAUUUUUCUAUUAACUGCAAGGGAAUCAUUACUAAUUAAUCCAUCCAAAGGAAAGGGUAAUGUCGUCGUUGAAUUUAAAAGAGAUUUCAACGCCACGUUUAGGUUAUCUAUUAAACAGAAUUACAAGAAGCAAAUGAUUCUAUCAAACAUUUAAAAAGUUGGUUGAAGGACAUUAUGAACAGGUCCAGUUAAUAUAUUGGAGAGUAAAUAUGAAGGAAGCAAUUAAACGAAGUAAUAAGGCAAAAAAAAUAGUGAUAGGCUGUAAUCACAAGGGAAAGACUUUUUGGAAUAUUUAUAUCUACAGUUAUUGAUUUCUUUGUCAAGUACUCUGAUCAUAGCAAUGUUAAAUAUUUGGAUCCCAAAAAGACACCAUAAUACAAAAAUGUAUUGACAAAAAUAAUAUAAAGUAAAGGAAAUGUUUCUACAAGGAAUAUUUUGGGAAUGCUUCUGUGACCAUUAUUUGUGUUGAGACGCAUAUAUAUCACACAAACAUUUUUUACUUUUGCUUAUAUUCACGCACUUUCUUAUAUUAUAAAAUGAGUUGCAGUGAAAUCAAAAUGUAUUCAAAUCUAUCAUUGCGCAAGGUGGUACACUCUUCGAGAAACAGAAGUAUUUUUUAAAGUAGUUGAAUAUGCACCUGUCUUAUGAAAAUUUAGCAUUUAUUAUAGGUUUCUUCUAUCAGGUGCAAAUUUAUUUUGAAUUGAUAUUUUGCUUUGUACAUUGUACUUUAUUGGUCAUUUCAUGUCCAUUGAGCAAUUGACAUCCGGAAAUCUUACGGCAUUUUUGAUGCCAACAUAGGUAGUUCAAAGUACUUAAGUAUGCUAUCAUUGCCAAUGAUGGUGGGAGAAAAGACAUUAAUACAUUAGGAAAACUCUUAAAAGAUCUGAAGAAAGCAUUAUCUACAGUCAAGGACGUGAAUUAUUUAGAAAACGAAUUAAAAGAGAAAAUCCAAAACCAUAAAGGAUCGAGGAAGAAUCGAAUCUUAACAGCAAAAUCAUGGAGAAAGAACAAUGAGUUAAAGGAUCAUUCACAAGACGUUUUUCUUCAGAGUCAUAUUGACAAGACGUUGAAAAGGAGCCGCCUGAAGAAAACAAAGUAUGGAAAUGGAAUAAAGGAUUCAGACCAAAUAAUCUGGAUUUAGACCAUCGAAGAAAAGAGCCUUCAACAAUACGGAACAAGCAACAAGGAUGUUACACAAAAGCGAGCCUCUUGUGAAAGUCAAAUUUAGUAGGUACAAAUGAUACGUCAGCUUACAUACUGCAAUGGAAUAUUCUAAGAUAUACACAUCAAUAAAGAAGUAAGAAGUAACGUUUUAUAUCAAAAAUCAAGCUCGGAAUUGCGACAAAUAGAAACACUGAAUAAAAUAAGCAUUAAAUCACAGUUUUAAGAUAAUCGAAAGGAUGAAACUAUUACAUAUAUGUAAUCUAAUAUUCGAUCACCGAUCUAACGAAAUAAUGAUGAAACGCAGAAUGGUACCAUGAAAAAGGAUAAUCUGCAACAGCAUAGUAAUAACACAAACGCAUUCUAGUAAAAUCACUUGUCAGCUGAUUUCUUUUUAAACGUAAUGGUUAGUGAAAUAAUAAUCGAAAAAAAGAAAGUUACUCAAAAUUCACUUUUAGAUUGCAAUUAACAAGUAGGUAAUAUACUUUGAUAUGAAUUUUAAAUAAGCUAAACUUUUCAUAAAGCUCACAUCAGAAGAUCCGAACAUCUGAAAAUUUCUGAUAGUUUUAUAGACCACCAUCAAAAAAUUUUUAGGAUUGUAUUCUUUCGGAUCAAUUAUAUCAAUUACGCUGGGUGGACUUUAAUCUAUUAAUCUAUUGAGCCAAAGAAUGUACAAUAUUAUAGUAAGAGGAGUAUGAAUUACCGACAAGAAUCAAUAUAGAAAUCUUUAAUAUCGACGUAUGAGAAUCGGAAGUGUAAACUAAAUGCUGACGUCAUAUAUAUCAACGGAGCAAACGGAGAAAAAUCUAGAUGACUCACAGCGGACGUGAACAUGACUGAAAGGAUCACCCUGUUGACUACAGGUUCGGUGUAGUAGGGACAGAUUUUCGAACCCAUUUGUCGUUGGCAUGAUUGAAAGAUCGAAGAAAUUGAAAAAUUCACCCAUCGCUUAGAAAAAUUCUGCGAUGGUCCUCUAACACGCCUACUUCACAGCUACUACGGUAGUCACGCGAAUAAUGAACUCCAUGAUAUUUCUUUUUAUAAAGAAACAAGUAAGCAAAAAAUAAAAUGCACGCUGAGCUCUCUUCGAUUUCAAUUAUGUUGAUCUUUGCAUAGUGAAAAUAAUGUGCCGGAAUAACAAACUCUUAAAGUACAACAGAAUAAUGGCUCAAUUGCUUUUACAUGAAAACGAACACAAAAGCAAUAUAUCAUCUCUAUGCAAGCAAUAUAGCAUAAUAUCAUCAUUAUAAUAAAAAAUUAUGAAAACUAUUUAAGAAAUAUUUAAAAGAGCAAAUUAUCUAUCAUGUAAAACAACCUUCUGACAGAAAAAUUACUAUUAUAAGUAAUUUGCUCAUAUGAGCUAUUGUAUUUAUAUUAUUAAAUACAUUACAAGUCUUGAUUAACAUUCUUGAAAGUAGCACAUUAAAAAGAAUAAUAUUCGAAAGUAUUAAUCAUAGAUAAUAUAUUAUAUUUUUCAUUUAAUCAAAUUAAUAAAAACAAAUUAUAAGUUUGUAAUAUGCCAAAGUAUAUUAUCAUCGAGACAUCAUUAUAUUUUGAUUAGUAAAUCUCAUAUCAAAUCGAAAAAUGAGUGAGUGUUAUUGCACAUAAAAUUUAUUUUCACAUAAUCGAUGGAUUAUUACUCCGCAAAAGAAACAAUGAAUGAACAAUAACUUUCACAACAAUUUACUUCUUACCUUUUACUGCUUUACAUAUCUCAUGUGUUUCUCUCACUCUCUCUACCUGUAUCUAUUUAAUUGAUCUAAUGAUAAUCGAUUAACUCACAUUAAAGCAUGAUUAAAUUAAUUUUACGAACAUCAAUAAUUGCUACAAUAAUAUAAAAUUGAUAGUAAGUGAAACUUUUAAAAAAUUUCCCGAUUCCCCAUAAGAAAAAAGAUAAUAAAUAAAAAUAGAAUAAAAUGGAAAGAAUCAUGACCAAUUUUAGCGAAAGCUGCUGAAAACUUUUAAGUGCGAUCACUUAAUCAUAAUAUAAUUUAACUUAUAAGACCGAUACAUCAACGGCACGAUCUACUUAUAAGACCGAAACUGAUUUCCUUGCGUCGAAUACUCCUUCGAAUGCACAUCGACAAGAUUAUAAGCCUCAAACGAUUCGAUCUAUCAACGUAAAACGAUGUUUACAUUUCCGUUAAAACGAUUUUGUGAAAAUAGUCUACGAGCCACAGUCUUCCAUGUCACAAGCACGAGAUAUGUCAAAGAACAAGAAAACAGUAUAAAAGAAUAAACAUGAUUUCCGAUGUGAAGAGAUUAAUAUAUAAGCGAAUAAAGUUCAAUUACUUUUUUCACGAGAAAACAAACAUUUGUGUCGAUUGGUCACGAUCGACCAAUAAACAAAAAAAUCUUCAAAAUGCAAUAAAACAUAUACACAGAUUAAUGAUACAGAGAUGAAAAAACGUGAGCGUUUGUAUUCACCAAUUGUGCAAACAAAGCCAACGUACAUGCCAUUGUAAAAUUUGGAUCCUCUUUUUGCACGAAGACGAAAUAGAGAAAAUUCUUUGAGCACGAAAUUAAUAUAGAAAAUGAUAGAGAAACGUCGAAAAGAAAUUAUAACAUUUCUCACGGGAGAUAAUGAUCCUUUUGCUCUUGUGAUGAAGGCUUAGUGUAAUAGCUACGGUACGAAUGGAAAAAACCGUGCUCGUUAAAACACAAUGUACUUACGUGUUUUUAAAAAGAGAUAUGAUAUUAAAAAUAAUAAUAAUGACGAUAAUGAUAAUACAAUACUAAUAGAUCACUUUAUACGCAAGCGAUAAUACGUUGAGUAAUUUCUAAGAAUUCGGGGUGGAAUAAAAGAAAAAGUGAAAAAAUAAAAACGUCAACUAUUUGUCCGUUCGUUCUUAGAGAUCGAAGGCUAUAAUAAUUUCUUUAGUAAUGAUCGAGAAAAUGUAAUGAAGAAGGAAACGAACAGUGUGUCGCAAUGAAUAACCGACCCCGUUGUCUGUUGAUCGAGAAGGCGACCUCUACUAGGCUUCACAACCCUACACGGCCAUGUCCCGGGUAAGGGGACAAACCCGUGGUAGAAGAAGUACUUACUGGUGGUCGGACGAACUAACGAACCUUAGGGCCGUUGCGACGACCACAGUAAGGAAACUUUCCAGGGCCAGGAAGAAAAAGAAGAACAGUGAUGAAAUAGUGCAGUGCCUGGACGCUCGAAGGGACGCAAGGAGGGCACUGUCUAGGGCUAUUAAAGUGGCCAAGAGGAACUCAUGGAGGGACCUGCUGGACUCCAUAGAGGAGGAUCCAUGGGGAAGACCCUACAAACUGGUCUUGGGGAAACUAAGGCCUUAUGCCCCACCAGUAACCGAAACCAUGGAGGAGGAGGUACUGGAAAAAAUCCUCUGUGAGUUGUUCCCAGGAGGACCGGGAGUUGACGAGCCGCAGGAACCUACGCUAUCGGAGGUAACUAUCUCGGAAGAGGAGGUCUUGGCUGCUGCCCGGAAAGGAAGAGGAAGAAAGGCUCCUGGACUGGAUGGAAU